UUUUUUUUUGUCCUAGUUUUUUUGUUUCUUGUUGCUGCAUUAUGUAUUUAUAGGAGCUUAGAUGUGACAUCCUUAAAAAAACAUCUAGAUGUGAAUUAGUCAAACUGAACAUGAAAUGUGCUCCACGCAAGUGAAGAGUGAAUUAAAUGUGUUCAUGCCUGAGAGCUGCAUAGUGGAGUGGAGCGGAGCGGAGUACAAUAAAAUUAAUACAAAUCGGAACUCCCAAUGGAGGGCAUCUCGAGAUCUCCAAACUCCCACUGCGUGCUUGCUAGCUGGACAACAAGGCUGGUAGUACUACUAGUAUAGCAGAAUGUAAUUCCGGUAGUGAUAGAUUAAUCUCGAGUCAAACCCAAGUAAUCUUGUGUAACCUGCCACCACCCAGACCCAGGCACCCACCCUGAUUGAUUGGUUACCAACACGGAGUAACAAAUCGGAAUUGCGAACUGAAAUGAGGAAACAAAAGUAGAAAUGCGCAAUCCAGAAGAAGUGAUAUUGAUUUCGCAAAAAAAAAGCGAUAUUGGUCUCUGGCAAGCUGUAACAACUAGGGAUUCGACGAUGGUGAUUUCGAGCUGAUCAUGCUGUUAUCUCCUUUUUUUCCGGGUUUUACAGAUAUGGGCAGAGGCCAGAGGGAUCUAUCUAUGUCUGGAUCCUAACUCAGCUGCAGUAGCUCCUUUUCCCGGCGAGGUGGCCGGCGGCGGGCUGAGAAGAGGUCAGAUGGGGGGG
rnacentral:lncRNA from 1 species